CGAUGGAGGGGGAUAACUACUGGAAACGGUAGCUAAUACCGCAUAACGUCGCAAGACCAAAGCGGGGGACCUUCGGGCCUCUUGCCAUCGGAUGUGCCCAGAUGGGAUUAGCUAGUAGGUGGGGUAACGGCUCACCUAGGCGACGAUCCCUAGCUGGUCUGAGAGGAUGACCAGCCACACUGGAACUGAGACACGGUCCAG
rnacentral:rRNA from 1 species